rnacentral:misc_RNA from 1 species
CGUAAGGCGCCGAAUGAGUCAUUAAAAAUUAACAUCAUCCGAUCCCUAGUCGGCAUAGUUUAUGGUUAAGACUACGACGGUAUCUGAUCGUCUUCGAUCCCCUAACUUUCGUUCUUGAUUAAUGAAAACAUCCUUGGCAAAUGCUUUCGCAGUAGUUAGUCUUCAAUAAAUCCAAGAAUUUCACCUCUGACAAUUGAAUACUAAUGCCCCCAACUAUCCCUAUUAAUCAUUACGUCAAUCCUAGAAACCAACAAAAUAGGAUCGAACGUCCUAUUUCAUUAUUCCAUGCUAAUGUAUUCAAGCGUUAGCCUGCUUUAAACACUCUAAUUUUUCAAAGUAACAGUCCAGAUUCCCUGCAA